ACUAAUCAUAUUUCUAAAUAAACCAAUAAACUUACACAGAAUGGAAGAUAGAUGGAAACUUGGCAGACGAUUACUUCAUAAAAUCACGAAAAUUAAAACACCUUAUAUUAUAAUUGAACGCGCUUGCAAAAAGAAAAUAGAAUCGAUUCCAUUACGGCAAAACACGAAACAUCAACGUAAUUACAUUUCAACGCGCGUUACAGUUAAUUCGAUCCUUAAACAUUGCACAAUCCAUUCUCGGCCAGUCACAUCGUAACACGUCAUGUUUGCUCCGCGAAGGGAGGGGGCGUUGGUCAUUAUCGGGGGAUAUAAAAACCGCGUGGUAAUGGAAUGUAGCGUGCCCCGUGGAUCGUCAAAGAUCGCAAUGUACCACGGCCGUUCGCGUGGGAGGAGUAGUUUAGAUUGGCCGGGUCGUGUGUACACAGGUAGCUGUAUUGUGCCAGGUCAUAACGGUUGGAUAACGGUUGCGUGGCAAAGCAACGUGGAUACCGCGUCGUGCUGUUGGUCGUGUCGUGUGUCAUCGGCGAAGGAAGCCCGCUGUUUACAAAAGCUUGCGAACACCGCCGCCGUGUUCGAUGGCCGGGAGCUUGAACGGUUUCUAGAUUAUUCUAUUAAGGCGAUCGAUCAUCGGCGGCCGAGGGUUGAGCCGCCACCAUCUUUAAACGGUGGCGGACUUCGCUUUCGCACGCUCGCGUUGUCAAUAAACUCUUGUACAGAGUGGGAAGAUAGAUUCGAUGGAAACUUGGCAGACAAUUACUUCAUAAUAGAAUCACGCAGAAUUUAAAUUCUGGUCUCCCCUCGAGGGUCCUCCUCCAACUCGAGGAAGAUGGUCGUCACGCGAGAGAAGGCGUUACCACUGUUUUGCCAUCGCACGUAUUGUCAACCCUUGGCUGGGUUUUGGGGCGGUGCCACGUGGAUUCUCGUGCGGUUGAUACCGGUGGGGUGGAAGCAGUCACAUCAAAAGGACCGAAUAGUUGUUUCUCUCUCUCCAGCUGAGGCUUGGCGCGAGCCUUCUAUUGAUGGAAUCCGCGGCAGCUGCAUCUCUAAUUUGGUGAAUGAAAACCAAGACCCCCGUCGCACAUUGUCGGGAUAACAAGAAAUCCGAAAUUUGCACAGCGGAUGCCUUUUCCCCUCUUUGGGUUGCUCCUCUUUGAUCCCUGCGACGGGGUAACUUUUUUUUUUUUUUUUUUUUGAAAAGGUCCAAAGAACGUCCAGAUCGAGUUGAUUAGAGCAUUACGAGGGAUCGUAAUGCUGGAAUUUGAGGAGAGUGAUUCUUGUCGUUACGGUCUCGUGGAUCUUUUAAUUCCUAAAUUAUUCUUUUUAUUCGAUCAUCGAGCAUUGUGAUUUGUUUCUUCACUCUGCUGUGAAAUGGUCCUUGAAUUUUUAAGAAAAAUGACCGUAUUAUCUUGAUAAGUAAAAGAAAUAAAAAUGGAGAUUUACGAUAAAAAUGUAGGUUAAUAGCUGCUACGUGUUUCUAAUUAUAUACGUGGAAGGAUCAAAUAUAAUAUAUUCUAAUACAGCUACGAUAAGGAUUUAAUUUUUAAAAGAAAAAGAAGAAGAAGAAAAUUGGAAAUUAAUAAUUAUUCUUAUGCUUGAAUAUUUUCUGCGCGUAACGUUAACAAAGAUCAAAUCGACAUUAGCAAAGAUCGAUCGAUUCGAAUGAUAUUUAAUUCUGUUUGUACCAAGAAAGAAUUAUACGUAAUAUUUUUAUUCCCUUUCUCGUCCCAUAUUUCCGUGGCCAACAUAUGAGUCGCGUUACGAACAAAAAUAAAUCCAAUCCCUUCCGUUAACCAUUCCGUUUCGGUAUUGCAUUUGAAAAUUUAUGAUCGCCGAUCGAAGACCCAACCACGUCAUAAAAUUUUACAUAAAACGAACGUUCGAUUAUCAACGAGACGGUCGUUUAUCUGUUUGUACCGAUUCUCGACAAAAUGUCACGAGAUAGUUAAAAAUCGGAUCCAGCAGCAUUUUCUUUUACUGUCAAACAUGAUGUGCAAUCAAUCAUACGUCGAAUUUUUGUUAUCGCUGACGAUAAAAGAAGCAAUAAAGUCAUUUACGAUAAAUUGCAGAGAAAGAAAAUUCCAGUUACAACUGGAAACAAAUAAUUAAACGUAAGAAAUUAUUAAACGAAUUCUUUAUUUUCGAGAUGUAUUCGUUGCUCGAAUCGGGGGAGAAAAGGCUACGCGUAAUGAGAAUAAAAACAGAAAGGAAGAAGAAAGGUUUCUCUGAAGCAGAAUUCCAGUUACUGCAUCCGCUGAAAAUAGAACGUAACAUACGUAUUCCAUAAAAGAGGGAAUUGGCCGUACGAACGAUCCUCCUUCGUCAACGCCAUUUUGCCGGGGCGCUUUCGAGGAAUGUUUCCCCGAAACUUGGAACGUCCCAAAGGAUUCGAAUCGCAAAGAAAGCCUUCCGUUUCUCUUCUGGAUUUUUCGAUAAAGCUCCCAAAACGACUGGCUAUUUGGUAGAAAACGAAUCGCGCGAGAGAAUCGGCAAAAGGAAACACCCAUCUCUUCCCCAUUCUUAUUUUUCUUCUUUUUUAUUUUUUUUUUAGAAGGAAAACCUCUUCCGCCGAUAGCUGCGUAUUCUUUGGAUUACACAUUGGUUUCGAAUGGAAUGUUUGAAGAACAGGGGGUGAGAAUUCGUUCGAUGGAAGAAGAAGAAGGAUGAUUAGAGGGACGGAGGAUUCUGGAUGAUUGAUGGCGAAAGAUAUCACGUGCCAUUAUGUUUGCAUUACUGCGCCAAUUACACGUGCAUUUUCCACGCCAGAUUUCCUCAGAUCUAAACACGUGAAGAUAAUGCAACGUUGAAUACUAGUUUAAUGGACUCUCAGUUGUCUGAAAAGAAACGUUUAUUUGUCUAUAAAUUAUAUUUUAGGAAGACGGUGUUUCGCGUGACUGUUCGAGGCAGCGACAGACACGAAAUAUUAUAAAUAGAUUUCGAGAUUGAGAGGCUACGUUUGAACUGUCUCUCUUUUAACCAAGUAUUUCGAGACACGAAAUCACGAUAUAUUAGAGCAGGAUCGAGAAUAGAAUCGAAUGGAGGAGGAUUGAUCAAAGUGGGAUUUUGGAAUUUUAUGAGCAUUCCAAUAGGAUUUCUAUCUUUGAGGAUUUCAUCCCCUUUCAACGAGAUAUUUAUACGAGAAAUUUUCAAAGAUUUCUAAGCGUUUUGGGAAAAAAUUUUGCCAAAAAAAAUUCCAACACUGUUAUAUAAAAUAACAUUCGAAAACUUGUUGAAUUCAUUUGAAAUAAAUAUUCGAAUAACGUGAAUUCUUUGAAUAACUGACGAAAAAAAAUGUAUGGAGAAGAUUUUAAAAAAAGAAACAAUCGUUCCAUUACAAUAACGAUACGGUCAAUCAAACUGUAAAACACCUCUCAGAUAAUUCUCUCUAUCACAAACGUCGUUAAUCGUUUAUCAGUCCAUCUUUUCAAUUGUCGUUCCCUUAAUAAUAAUAUAUCAAAGAAUAGAUGUGGGAAAUUGAACAAAGUUUAUCAAAAGUUGCGGACGAACGUGGAUUCGAUUCGAACGGCGCGAUCAAUCAAGAUGCGGAAUGGCGUGAGUGCACUCCGGGGACAGAAGUACUAGGAGGCUAAGGGAAUCGACGACAACGAGGACGUCGACGAGGAAGGGUCGGCCGUGUCAACGGCAAAGCCAACCGUGACGUGGCCUGGGAAAGCUUACGUUGAUCCUUUCACGUUGAGAAAUCACGGAUGCGCGGAUUGGCUAAUGAAAAUUUACCUAUCUUUCCAAAGGAUAAAGAAUUAAUUCUGGAUUUGAUUAAUUUUCGGAUGGACGAUGUUAAAUUUAAUCUUAAUGAUUCUCAAAUGUUUGAUAAUUAAGUCGCACACUAUAUUCCCUAUAUUAUCGAGAAAAGGGAUCCUUAAAGUAUGCGUUUAAUUUACCCCGUUCAAAUGCUCGGCUUGCAACACUUUUUUUACUGGUAUACAACCGAUAAGUGUAGGGAAGAAGGCUAACGAGUGCUCUCAUAGGGGUGACUUUUAUACGAGCAUUCACCAUUAUACUUUUCCUCGAUACAAAAGAGGCUACCAUUCUACCGAGUGCUCCAUUCUCCGCGAAAACAUCCGGGAUUUACAAUUGGCCUACAGAGGCUGAUAUUCAGCAUGCGGCUCUGAAUUCCUCCCCGGUGGUUUUGCGAAAGAGAGGAACAAUCGAGAUGAAUGCGACCAUCGAGAUUGUGCAGACGUUUUUAUUAAAUAGUGAACGCCGUGAUUGUUUCGAAUGGUCCAAUAAUAUUGCUCUUUUACAUUUUAACCGUCGUUCAUUUUACCAGAAAUGGAAAAAAAAUUGUAUAACGUUGAAAGUAUUAAUUUAUAUCAAAUUCUUUAAAAUUAUCUCCUCUUGAAAUCGUCAAUAAUAUUCAAUAAUAAUGUUACAAACUUUCCAAAGCAAGAUGUUAUUAUAUAUAUAUUUGUAUACGGAAACAUUCACGAAUAUUUAACAUUUCCUGGAGCCUGACACGAGAAACAUAAACAAGAAGGGUCUAGGAUCCCUGCGUCCCUCCCUCCCGACUGAAUAUUGUCAAACGAAAUCAAACAGAAACUCCUUAUACGAAACAGGCUCGAAACGAACACUCGAAGCGGACAAAGUUCAAAAAUGCCACUCGAGGGUGAACAACGUUUACGAAAUACAUUGGAUACAAGGGUGGAGAGGUAACAAGCGAGGCAAAAGAGGAGUCGCUGUAUGUAUCGAGGAACUCACGGCCGAUUAGAAGUGGCAGUCGCCCACUCGACACUUUCUUCCGCCCCACUCGAGUCUCUUUGGGGGUUGAAACCCAUUGGGCCGAGUGCACGCGCCGCUCACCAUCGAGAGAAAGCAUGCGACGACGAAUGCUUUUGAACGUCGAAUCGGUACACUUUUCAUCCCGUCUCACCCCUGUGCACACGCUUUGCAUUCGACUCCCUCUCUUUCCCUCUCUCUCUCUCUCUCUCUUCCACCACCCUUACGACCGCAUCCAACCCCCAUGAAUCACUCGAGGAACCCCAUUCCAAUCCGCCGCGCUCGUGUCCUAUCACGAGGUUCGCCUCUUCUGGGACAGGCGUCGACAAUUUUUUUCGCCCUUGUAACCCCUGACCACCCUUUUUCCGCUCCACGAAUCGAUAGAUGCUCUCGGCUGGAGCCUUUACAAACCGUCGUUUAACGUGUCCAUCUACAGCUCCGGGAGAGGGAGAGAGAGAGAGAGAGAGAGUUGGCCAAACGUGAAAUAUCGUUGUUCCGUUCCACCCCUUAGGAGGGUAGUUUCCUUCCGUGAUGCGAGAGAAAGGUGUUUGGGAAAAGUUACAUUGGAGGAUUGUUAAGUAGACGAAAAAUAUAAUACAUUCUUUCUUUUUUUUCAAUGUUGUCUGAUUUUAAUUAGUUACAGUUUAUUUUGAUCCCAACUUUAAAAGUUUAUAUUUCGUGCUGUUGUAACAUAAAGGGAAAAAUGAAUCAUCUCAAAGAAGUUAAGAACAAGGAAUCUUCAACGAGGAAAAUUUGAAAUUUCCCUGGAAAAUAAUCACAUACCUUGGAAGCUUGGUAAAAAAAAUUAAUGAUAUGAAAACACGUAGUAGAAGAGUAUUUCGAAGGCAGUAAUUCUAAUUAACGAGGGAGCAAACACAAACGGCAAUUGUACCGUUAAUUAAUCUUAAAUAUCAUUAAAAGUCGACGUCUCGCGAUUCAGAUCUUGAUCGAUCGAGAUAAUAAAGCAAGGAACGGAUAUAACACCGAGUGUCGUUAAUCAAAUAAUCCUCUUCAACGCGUUUUCAUAACCAGCCCUCCGCAAUUCCAUCGUUUCGAUGUCUUUCGCGCGCAAAAAAAAAAAAAAAAGAAAAAACGAUCCAAUUGAGGAUCCCGCUGUAUCGAGGAGGAUAGAAAGCGGUAGAAUUAUUUCCACGAAAUAAAGAGGAAAAACUUGAUUACUAUACCUGAUUACAAGAUUGUCGUCGAUAAAUAAGAAUCACGAUUCCGACGAAUAAAUGAGAAACGAAGGGAAGAAAGGGAAAUUGGCUACGACGGUGGUUGAAAGCGAAGAAAAUAGAAUUUACGAGGAAUAAUAAAUAUGGGAUUGUAAAAAUAUUUAUGAUGCAUGGUUAAAUUUUAUGAAAUAUAUAUUAUGUUUUUUAGAUCAAGAUGCAGAAGAUUAUGAAAUUAGGUAACGAUCGAUGCAAAUGUAUUAUUGAUAAAUUUAUUUGAAAAAGUGUAAUUAAAAUCCAUAAUUUGCGAUUUUAUAAUGAAGAUUAUAUGGAGCGGAGGGAGUGCUCGUUAACGUUUUAUGAUUGGAAAUUUAUUAUUUAUAACGAAAAAAGAAAGCCAAGAUUGAUCAAUAUGCUUAUUAUAUAAUACAAUAUCAAUAUUACACUCUCGUCCAAAAUUUGCAUAUAGAUGAAAAAACACGGAUUCUUCCCAAUCGUAAUUUUAAAAUUUAACCCAAUACUCGAAUUUUCACACUCGGGAUCUAAUAAAUUAUACUAAAUUGCUCUUUCUUUUUCCAGA